GAUGAACGCUGGCGGCGUGCCUAAUACAUGCAAGUCGAGCGAACGGACGAUAAGCUUUCUUCUUUGAUGUUAGCGGCGGACGGGUGAGUAACACGUGGAUAACAUACCUAUAUGACUGGGAUAAUUACGGGAAACCGGAUCUAAUACUGGAUAAUAUUUUGAACCGCAUGGUUCAAAAGUGAUAGACGGUCUUGCUGUCACUUAUAGAUGGAUCCGUGUUGCAUUAGCUAGUUGGUAAGGUAACGGCUCACCAAGGCAACGAUGCAUAGCCGACCUGAGAGGAUGAUCGGCCACACUGGAACUGAGACACGGUCCAGACUCCUACGGGAGGCAGCAGUAGGGAAUAUUCGGCAAUGGGCGAAAGCCUGACGGAGCAACGCCGCGUGAGUGAUGAAGGUCUUCGGAUCGUAAAGCCCUUUUAUUAGGGAAGAAAAUCUGUGGAAGUAAAUGUGCACAUCUUGACGGUACCUAAUCAGAAAGCAACGGCUAACUACGUG
rnacentral:rRNA from 1 species